AAAGGACGUCAGCUUUCGUGUCGGUCACACAGCGGUGUGCUGUGUCGUCGUCGUGGGGUGUUUUUGUGGAGUUUAGCCUGGAGUUUGAAGCGGAAACGGAGAACCUUGCGGAAGAGACAAAGAGUGCAGAAACUUAAUCGUCGUACUUUCACGUCGUAAUUAUAAACUCUAAAUCGGCGUUUUAAGUGUCUGUGAGACUGUGACUAGACGAAAGGUGAUUAUUUCCUGGAAGAAACACCAAAGUGAGUGAAGAGCACGAGAAAAGUGUGGUAUACUAAUUAAAAGUGUAUAAAUGCCCUGAGCGAUAGCUGAGAAAACUCCAUCCGGUGAUCAGGUGAAAACAUCAAACGGGAAAGCAGGAAGGAGCAUCAACAGCAAACGACGGAAGCAGCUUCAUCCUGAUACAGCCGACGGCGGAUUAAAGAUUUUGGCAGAGAGAUAAGCCGGCACUUAUUGAAUCGUAAGCCGUGCAAAGUACACUCUUCUGUUUUGAGUUUUUCCAAGGAAUGAAAAACGAUACAAUGAUGUCGCAAGUUUUUUGACGAAAGCCUGGUAGAUGGUAAGUGUGCCCCGCUCCGGAAAUACUUCAACCGUUAUGCCCAUUCAUCGCGGACUGCACAUAAAUUGUGGAACGCUUUUCCGGGUUCUUUUAUCGCUCGGA